CCCUUAGAUGUUCUGGGCCGCACGCGCGCUACACUGACGAUGGCAACGAGUUUUUCCUUCGCCGAAAGGUGUGGGCAAUCUUUUGAAACAUCGUCGUGCUGGGGAUAGAUCAUUGCAAUUUUUGAUCUUGAACGAGGAAUUCCUAGUAAGCGCGAGUCAUCAGCUCGCGUUGAUUACGUCCCUGCCCUUUGUACACACCGCCCGUCGCUACUACCGAUUGAAUGGUUUAGUGAGGACUCCUGAUUGGCGCCGCCGCCCCGGCAACGGAGCAGCGGACUGCCGAAAAGUUGUUCAAACUUGAUCAUUUAGAGGAAGUAAAAGUCGUAACA
rnacentral:rRNA from 1 species